UUGCUCUUAAGAAGUUAGCGGCGGACGGGUGAGUACACGUGGGUAACCUGCCCAUAAGACUGGGAUAACUCCGGGAAACCGGGGCUAAUACCGGAUAACAUUUUGAACUGCAUGGUUCGAAAUUGAAAGGCGGCUUCGGCUGUCACUUAUGGAUGGACCCGCGUCGCAUUAGCUAGUUGGUGAGGUAACGGCUCACCAAGGCAACGAUGCGUAGCCGACCUGAGAGGGUGAUCGGCCACACUGGGACUGAGACACGGCCCAGACUCCUACGGGAGGCAGCAGUAGGGAAUCUUCCGCAAUGGACGAAAGUCUGACGGAGCAACGCCGCGUGAGUGAUGAAGGCUUUCGGGUCGUAAAACUCUGUUGUUAGGGAAGAACAAGUGCUAGUUGAAUAAGCUGGCACCUUGACGGUACCUAACCAGAAAGCCACGGCUAACUACGUGCCAGCAGCCGCGGUAAUACGUAGGUGGCAAGCGUUAUCCGGAAUUAUUGGGCGUAAAGCGCGCGCAGGUGGUUUCUUAAGUCUGAUGUGAAAGCCCACGGCUCAACCGUGGAGGGUCAUUGGAAACUGGGAGACUUGAGUGCAGAAGAGGAAAGUGGAAUUCCAUGUGUAGCGGUGAAAUGCGUAGAGAUAUGGAUGAACACCAGUGGCGAAAGCGACUUUCUGGUCUGUAACUGACACUGAAGCCCGAAAGCGUGGGGAACACACAACAUUAGAUACCCUGGUGAAUCACGCCGUAGACAAUGAUUGCCAAUUGUUAGAAGGCUUCCUCCGUGUAG
rnacentral:rRNA from 1 species